rnacentral:rRNA from 1 species
UGGGGAAUAUUGGACAAUGGGUGCAAGCCUGAUCCAGCCAUGCCGCGUGAGUGACGAAGGUCUUCGGAUUGUAAAGCUCUUUUGGCGGGGACGAUAAUGACGGUACCCGCAGAAUAAGCCCCGGCUAACUUCGUGCCAGCAGCCGCGGUAAUACGAAGGAGGCUAGCGUUGUUCGGAAUCACUGGGCGUAAAGCGCACGUAGGCGGAUUUGUUAGUCAGGGGUGAAAUCCCGGGGCUCAACCUCGGAACUGCCUCUGAUACUGCAAAUCUCGAGUCCGAUAGAGGUGAGUGGAAUUCCUAGUGUAGAGGUGAAAUUCGUAGAUAUUAGGAAGAACACCAGUGGCGAAGGCGGCUCACUGGAUCGGUACUGACGCUGAGGCACGAAAGCGUGGGUAGCAAACAGGAUUAGAUACCCAUGUAGUCCCUGAGCGGGCUGGCAAGGCGCAU